AAAAAUAAUCGUCUAAUCUAGUCAAACUACUUAUAUAUUCCUAUUCCUUGCGACAACUAUUUAAUCAAAAAAACUCAUUAAAGAAGGAUGCAAGCAAUUCAAAAUACUCAGGAAAUUCG
rnacentral:sRNA from 1 species